AGUAAAAUAUUUUCUUAAGAUAUCUGCCUGUAGUUGCUUCCCCUCUCCUUCUGUCUGAAAACGCUUGAAUCAGAAUUUUAGGGAAAGUUAGAAGAAUUCUCAAACGAAAUCGUGAUUGGGUAGCCAUGAAGAUCGUCCGAAAAAAUCUUGUUCCCGAUGGCCCGGGUAGUGUCAAGAUGAUUCCAGAGGAGUCUGAUGACCUCUGGCUUGCUUACAAUCUGAUCUGUCAGGGUGACACUGUUAUGGCCGUUACUGUUAGGAAAGUUCUGAGAGAGAGUGCUUCUGGAGGAAGAGAUGCUGAACGUGUAAAGCUGAAGUUGGAAAUUAAAGUUGAGGCUGUGGAUUAUGACAAGGAAGGGUCAGUCUUGCGUUUACGUGGCAAGAAUAUCCUAGAAAAUGAGUAUGUAAAGAUUGGGGCUUUCCAUACCCUAGAAAUUGAACUACAUCGUCCUUUUGUCCUUAGAAAGGAUAUUUGGGAUUCAUUGGCGUUAGAUGCACUCCAUCAGGCAUCUGAUCCUUCUGGAAGUGCUGAUCUUGCUGUGGUUUUGAUGCAAGAAGGAUUAGCACAUGUGUUUCUCAUAGGCAGAAGUGUUACUUUAACUCGUUCUCGGAUAGAAACUUCAAUUCCUCGCAAGCAUGGGCCUGCUAUUGCUGGUUAUGAGGCGGCUUUAAAUAAGUUUUUUGAGAAUGUUUUACAGGCUUUUUUGAAGCAUGUGGAUUUCAAUGUUGUUCGCUGUGCUGUAAUUGCAAGUUCAGGCUUCACAAAGGAUCAGUUCCAUCAUCACCUGCUACUAGAGGCAGAAAGAAGACAGUUGCGAUCUAUCAUUGAGAACAAGUCGCGCAUACUUCUAGUGCAUACUACCUCUGGAUACAAGCAUAGUUUGAGGGAGGUUUUGGAUGCACCUAAUAUCUUGACUUUGAUAAAAGAUACAAAAGCGGCACAAGAGGUCCGGGCUCUCAAGGAUUUCUUCAACAUGCUUUCAAAUGUCAGGACCCAGCUCGUGCUUGUUAUGGGCCAAAGCAUGUUGAGGUUGCCCAUGAGAGAAUGGCUGUCCAAACACUUCUACUCACAGAUGACCUCUUCAGAAAUUCUGAUGUAGAAAUGAGGAAAAAGUAUGUUAAUUUAGUCAGCUCAGUCAAGGACUCGGGGGGAACUGUCCAUAUAUUCUCUUCCAUGCAUGUAUCUGGAGAACAACUAGCACAACUGACAGGGAUUGCAGCAAUUCUUCGCUUUCCACUUCCAGACUUGGAAGAUAUUGAGAUGUGAACGAAGAUUU